rnacentral:rRNA from 1 species
AGAGUUUGAUCCUGGCUCAGGACGAACGCUGGCGGCGUGCCUAACACAUGCAAGUCGAGCGAGGGAUUUAUGACGGAUUCCUUCGGGAUGAAGACAUAAAUCACCUAGCGGCGGACGGGUGAGUAACGCGUGAGGAACCUACCUCCUACAAGGGGAUAGCCUCGGGAAACUGGGAUUAAUACCCUAUGACACUUAAGGGUCGCAUGAUCUUUAGGUUAAAGCGAUAUAGCGGUAGGAGAUGGCCUCGCGUCCCAUUAGCUAGUUGGUGAGGUAACGGCUCACCAAGGCGACGAUGGGUAGCCGGCCUGAGAGGGUGAACGGCCACACUGGAACUGAGACACGGUCCAGACUCCUACGGGAGGCAGCAGUGGGGAAUAUUGCACAAUGGGCGGAAGCCUGAUGCAGCGACGCCGCGUGAGCGAAGAAGGCCUUCGGGUCGUAAAGCUCUGUCCUAUGGGACGAUAAUGACGGUACCAUAGGAGGAAGCCCCGGCUAACUACGUGCCAGCAGCCGCGGUAAUACGUAGGGGGCGAGCGUUGUCCGGAAUUACUGGGCGUAAAGGGUACGUAGGCGGCUAGGUAAGUCAGAUGUGAAAUCCAUGGGCUCAACCCAUGUAAGCAUUUGAAACUGCUUAGCUUGAGUUAAGGAGAGGAAAGUGGAAUUCCUGGUGUAGCGGUGAAAUGCGUAGAUAUCAGGAGGAAUACCAGUGGCGAAGGCGACUUUCUGGUCUUAAACUGACGCUGAGGUACGAAAGCGUGGGGAGCAAACAGGAUUAGAUACCCUGNUAGUNCACGCNGUAAACGAUGAGUGCUAGGUGUCGGGGGUUUAACCUUCGGUGCCGCAGUUAACACAUUAAGCACUCCGCCUGGGGAGUACGNNCGCAAGAAUGAAACUCAAAGGAAUUGACGGGGACCCGCACAAGCAGCGGAGCAUGUGGUUUAAUUCGAUGCAACGCGAAGAACCUUACCAGGGCUUGACAUCCCUCUGCCGGGACUAGAGAUAGUCCCUUCCCUUCGGGGACGGAGGAGACAGGUGGUGCAUGGUUGUCGUCAGCUCGUGUCGUGAGAUGUUGGGUUAAGUCCCGCAACGAGCGCAACCCUUGCCUUUAGUUGCCAGCACUUUAGGUGGGCACUCUAGAGGGACUGCCGAUGACAAAUCGGAGGAAGGUGGGGAUGACGUCAAAUCAUCAUGCCCUUUAUGUCCUGGGCUACACACGUGCUACAAUGGGUAUAACAACGGGAAGCAAGCCAGUGAUGGUAAGCAAAUCCCUAAAAAGUACUCCCAGUUCAGAUUGUUCUCUGAAACUCGAGAACAUGAAGUCGGAGUUGCUAGUAAUCGCGAAUCAGCAUGUCGCGGUGAAUACGUUCCCGGGCCUUGUACACACCGCCCGUCACACCAUGGGAGUUGGAAGCACCCGAAGCCGGUGACUUAACCGCAAGGAGAGAGCCGUCGAAGGUGAAGCCAAUGACUGGGGUGAAGUCGUAACAAGGUAGCCGUAUCGGAAGGUGCGGCUGGAUCACCUCCUUUCUG